rnacentral:lncRNA from 1 species
UAAGACAGCUGUUUCCAAGGCAUGAGGAUUUCUAAAUGUCACAUAGGCUGUACUUGCAUGUUCACCAGCUCUGCAUUCUCAACCACAAGCAUAAACUCAAUCGACGACCAAAACUUUUUAUAAAGUAACUUGUGGAAAAAACAGGAAUGAAAUACAUGCUGUGUGUUAUGAGGCCAACUUGGCAUAAAUUUCCUCGAUUAAAUGAUUUAUUUUCACAAAAUAACAACUAAAGUAG